GUGUCAGCAGCCGCGGUAAGACGGACCACACGAACGUUAUUCGGAAUUACUGGGCUUAAAGGGUGCGUAGGCUGUGCAGAAAGUUGGGUGUGAAAUCCCUCGGCUUAACCGAGGAACUGCGCCCAAAACUACUGUGCUUGAGAAAGAUAGAGGUAAGCGGAACUUAGGGUGGAGCGGUGAAAUGCGUUGAUAUCCUAAGGAACACCGGUGGCGAAGGCGGCUUACUGGGUCUUUUCUGACGCUGAGGCACGAAAGCUAGGGUAGCGAACGGGAUUAGAUACCCCCGUAGUCC
rnacentral:rRNA from 1 species